GACGAACGCUGGCGGCGUGCUUAACACAUGCAAGUCACGGGGGCUCGCAAGAGCAACCGGCGAACGGGUGCGUAACACGUGAGCAACCUGCCGAUCUGAGGGGGAUAGCCGGCCCAACGGCCGGGUAAUACCGCAUACGUUCUCGAGGGGGAGUCCUCUUGAGAAGAAACCUCCGGGGCAGAUCGAGGGGCUCGCGGCCUAUCAGCUAGUUGGUGAGGUAACGGCUCACCAAGGCGACGACGGGAGCUGGUCUGAGAGGAUGGCCAGCCACAUUGGGACUGAGACACGGCCCAAACUCCUACGGGAGGCAGCAGCGGGGAAUAUUGGACAAUGGGCGCAAGCCUGAUCCAGCCAUGCCGCGUGAGUGAUGACGGCCUUAGGGUUGUAAAGCUCUUUUACCUGGGAAGAUAAUGACGGUACCAGGAGAAUAAGCCCCGGCUAACUUCGUGCCAGCCGCCGCAGUAAU
rnacentral:rRNA from 1 species